AUUGAACGCUGGCGGCAGGCCUAACACAUGCAAGUCGAGCGAGCGGCGGACGGGUGAGUAAUGUCUGGGAAACUGUGUGAUGGAGGGGGAUAACUACUGGAAACGGUAGCUAAUACCGCAUACCAUCAGAUGUGCCCAGAUGGGAUUAGCUAGUUGGUGGGGUAAAGGCCUACCAAGGCGACGACCUGUAGCGGGUCUGAGAGGAUGAGCCGCCCCACUGGGACUGGGUCACGGCCCAGACUCCUACGGGAGGCAGCAGUGGGGAAUAUUGGACAAUGGGGGGAACCCUGAUCCAGCCAUGCCGCGUGUGUGAAGAAGGCCUUAUGUUUGUAAAGCACUUUAAGCGAGGAGGCGUUACUCGCAGAAUAAGCACCGGCUAACUCUGUGCCAGCAGCCGCGGUAAUUC
rnacentral:rRNA from 1 species